UCGAAUACGAAUUUCACAUAA
rnacentral:piRNA from 1 species